UAGCUCAGUGGCAUAAGCGCCUGCCUUAGAAGUAGGCAGUCCUUUUAGUGGCUAUGCUUAUGGGAUAGAUGAAAGUUGCCAUGAUCUGAAGAGGGAGGGCUUUUCAGUGCCCUCCUCCUAUAUGAAAUGGCUGAACAGAAGAAA
ensembl:snoRNA small nucleolar RNA SNORA29